rnacentral:lncRNA from 1 species
AAACACAGGGUGACUCAUGACACCCCAGUCUGACAUAGGAUACCCCAGGGUGACAGAAGACAAAACAGGAUGGCUCAGGAAACCCCAGGAUGACACAGGACACCCCAGGCAGACCCAGAACACCCCAGGCUGACAAAGGACACAACAGGAUGAAACAGGACACCCCAGGGUGACCCAGGACACCCCAGGAUUACUCAGGACACCCCAGGCUGACUCAGGACUUCCAGGGACAACUCAGGAAUCCACAGGAUGACACAGGACACCACAGGAUGAAAUGGAUACCCCAGGAUAUCACAAGACACCCCAGACUGUUACAGGACACACCAGGCUGACACAGGACACCCAAGGCUGUCACAGG